rnacentral:rRNA from 1 species
UAGGGAAUCUUCGGCAAUGGACGGAAGUCUGACCGAGCAACGCCGCGUGAGUGAAGAAGGUUUUCGGAUCGUAAAGCUCUGUUGUAAGAGAAGAAACGAGUGUGAGAGUGGAAAGUUCACACUGUGACGGUAUCUUACCAGAAAGGGACGGCUAACUACGUGCCAGCAGCCGCGGUAAUACGUAGGUCCCGAGCGUUGUCCGGAUUUAUUGGGCGUAAAGCGAGCGCAGGCGGUUAGAUAAGUCUGAAGUUAAAGGCUGUGGCUUAACCAUAGUACGCUUUGGAAACUGUUUAACUUGAGUGCAAGAGGGGAGAGUGGAAUUCCAUGUGUAGCGGUGAAAUGCGUAGAUAUAUGGAGGAACACCGGUGGCGAAAGCGGCUCUCUGGCUUGUAACUGACGCUGAGGCUCGAAAGCGUGGGGAGCAAACAGGAUUAGAUACCCUGGUAGUCCACGCCGUAAACGAUGAGUGCUAGGUGUUAGACCCUUUCCGGGGUUUAGUGCCGUAGCUAACGCAUUAAGCACUCCGCCUGGGGAGUACGACCGCAAGGUUG